ACAGCCAAUUUGCCAAACCCUAUAAAACAAGCGCACUGGAGAACUGAAAAGCUUCCAAAGAGGAAGACUGAAGGAAAAAACCCUUUCCAUAGACUGAGCAACUCAAGCCUGAAUAGCGGCGAAUUUCAAGCGUUCAUCAUCAAUGGACGCCAUAAGGAAGCAACUGGAUGUGUUAAUGGGAGCCAACCGAAACGGCGACGUAACGGAGGUCGAUCGCAAGUACUAUGACCGUGAAGUUUGCCGUCUCUUUCUCUCCGGUCUCUGCCCUCACGAACUCUUCCAACUCACUAAAAUGGAUAUGGGGCCAUGCCCUAAGGUGCACUCUUUGCAACUGAGAAAAGAGUAUCCUUCUUUGACUUGCUGAACUNACAGGGACUUGGAGGAUGCAAUUGAUAGGCUGAUUGUUGAGUGUGACAGGAAAAUAACUAGAGCCCUUAAACGGCUUGACGAGGAGGAUGCCAAAGCUGCUAUUGCCAUAUCAGUAUCUGAAGUUACUCUGACACCGGAGAUUGAUGAGUUGUCAAAGCAAAUCAAGGAGAAGUUGAAAGAAGCUGAUGUAUAUGAUCUUGAAGGCAAGACAGAUAUGAAAAUUCGAACUCUGGAAGAGGUUGAAGAACUCAGAACUAAGAGAGCAGACAAACAGUCAAUGCUCCUUUUGGAUGCAUUUAACAAAGAUCGAGCAUCUUUACCACAGCCACUUCAGAACGGUCCACAGUUAGCACCUUUGCCCGCAGCUGCUCCAGAUCCUCGCAUACAAGAAAUGAUAAAUGAGAAGCUGAAGAAAGCAGAAGAUCUUGGUGAGCAAGGAAUGGUUGAUGAAGCUCAGAAAGCAUUGGAAGAGGCGGAAGCUCUUAAGAAGCUGCCUGUGAGGCAAGACCCUGGUCAGGAUUCCUCAAAGUACACUGCAGUUGAUGUGCGGAUUACUGAUCAAAAGCUCCGUGUGUGCGACAUCUGUGGAGCUUUUUUAAGUGUUUAUGACAGUGACCGUCGCUUAGCUGAUCAUUUUGGAGGAAAGCUUCAUUUGGGUUAUAUGCAAAUCCGUGAGAAAUUAGCUGAACUUCAGGAAGAAAGAAACAAGAAGCGGAAGGCCAUAGAAGAAGAUAGGAGAUCUAAAGAAAGAAAAAGCAGGGAUUGUGAUAGAGAAUCAAGCAGGGACAGAGUUGAUAGCCGCGAAGCAGGGAGAGAUCACGAUCGCAGGAGUAAAGAUCGCAACUAUGAUCGUGAGCGUGACAGAAAUAGAGACCGCUCUCGCAACUAUGAUUCAAGAAGUCAUAGGCGAUCACGUUCACGGUCAAGAGAACGGUCAAGGGAUUAUGAUCGCCACAGGCGAUAUGAUCGUUACUAGGUGAAAGCUGCUGUGGCAUGGAGAGCUGGAAAAGUUGUGUCGCGACUUGUUGGAUGUUUGGUACUUUGUAGUAUCCAGGAGACGAUGCCAUAUGUAUUGCUGUCUUUAUUUGGUCAGUUUUUGAUUCUGCAGUGUUAGGUGAAAUUUGAGAUUGACCUUCAAAAUUACAUGUGCGUUUUAUGCACCAGCUAAAUUUUAUGACAAUGCAAGGUUUUGUAUUUUUGAA